rnacentral:rRNA from 1 species
GACGAACGCUGGCGGCGUGCCUAAUACAUGCAAGUUGAGCGCUGAAGGUUGGUACUUGUACCAACUGGAUGAGCAGCGAACGGGUGAGUAACGCGUGGGGAAUCUGCCUUUGAGCGGGGGACAACAUUUGGAAACGAAUGCUAAUACCGCAUAAAAACUUUAAACACAAGUUUUAAGUUUGAAAGAUGCAAUUGCAUCACUCAAAGAUGAUCCCGCGUUGUAUUAGCUAGUUGGUGAGGUAAAGGCUCACCAAGGCGAUGAUACAUAGCCGACCUGAGAGGGUGAGCGGCCACAGUGGGACUGAGACACGGCACAAACUCCCACGGGAGGCAGCAGUAGGGAAACUUCGGCAAUGGACGAAAGGCUGACCGAGCAACGCCGCGUGAGUGAAGAGGGGUGUCGGAUCGUAAAACUCGGUUGGUAGAGAAGAACGUUGGUGAGAGUGGAAAGCUCAUCAAGUGACGGUAACUACCCAGAAAGGGACGGCUAACUACGUG